CAACGUAAAGAACUUCAUAUACCUCACAGCUAACUUCAAAUAUUCUCUAGCACUACUUAUCUUUAGCAAGGGGAAGAUAUAAAAAGGGUACAUAAUUAUGAGGUUGGUUGUGCUUGUUUUAGUCAUGUUAGUGAUGACUUCAACCUUGGCCACAAGCAGGAACUUAGUCCAGAAUUAUAACGAAGACGAUAAUGGUUUCGGGCAGGGGGGAAGUAGCAGCAUCAAUAAUCACCAUUAUAUACCAAGGCAGGACUUCAACAAUGGUAAUGGAGGUGAUGUUCCUAAAGCAGAACUUGAUACAGAUGCUGGAAAAUUCUAAGAGUAUACCUUGUAUAUAUGCAUGGUAUAACUGUAGUAAAUAGGAAUAAAGGGUAAAAUUUUAUGCAUAUAUGCUCGUGUUUUGUUAAGUAAAGUUGGUAGUGGUUAUGUAACGUUACCGUGUUUGUUUCUUGUAGUGAAGAAGCUUUGUCUAUAUGACUAUAUAUAUAGAGAGAAGUAAUUAAUAAGUUCAUAUCUUUUUA